rnacentral:rRNA from 1 species
UACGUAGGGUGCAAGCGUUAAUCGGAAUUACUGGGCGUAAAGCGUGCGCAGGCGGUUGUGCAAGACAGAUGUGAAAUCCCCGGGCUUAACCUGGGAAUGGCAUUUGGGACUGCAAGGCUGGAGUGCGGCAGAGGAGACUGGAAUUCCUGGUGUAGCAGUGAAAUGCGUAGAUAUCAGGAGGAACACCGAUGGCGAAGGCAGGUCUCUGGGCUGACACUGACGCUCAUGCACGAAAGCGUGGGGAGCAAACAGG